rnacentral:lncRNA from 1 species
AAUUUGCAUCGAUAAAAUAAAUCCAAAUUUCAGAUUCCAGCAGUAGAUGAAUAAUUGCAAAUUUUUGUGUGUACGAGAUUAGAAUAACUUCAAAAUAACUGACAUAAUUUUUUAUUUUUCCUGAUCAGAAAAAUACAUGAAAAAGGAAGGAGGUAGAAAUUUUUUUUGAUUUAUGGUUAAAGAAGAAAAACAAGAAAUUAGGGCGCACGUGUUAACAUGUAGGAGUAGAAUGCACCACUAUUUGGAAACGGUGAAAUUGAAAAAACAAGCAAAGCAUGAAUUUAUUAUUUUUUGAAUCUAUCAUGGUUUCAUUAUCAAUCUCGGCAUCUUACUAUUAUUAAUUAGAUGUUUCUUUUAAAAGCCUCCACAUUAAUCCUCUCAGACGCGCUCAAAAAGUAUAGAUAAAUCAUAAAAAAUUUUCAAGUAUAGAAAUAUCCAGCCAUCAAUCUAAUAGACUUUAAUUAUCAUAACCAUUACAUCGAUUAUGUUUUCUAAAAUUAAUAUUACCAGAUCUACCAUUACAAAAAUAGUUUAAAAAAAAUAGUUUAAAGUAAUUCCCUAAAUCUAUAUGUAAAUUACCCCCUAUCGUUACAAAAAAUAACCUAAAGUGUAAGCCCUUAGUUUAAUUUCAUAUAAAUUACCAACCAAUACUGUUAUAAAAAAUCUAAUGUAAACCCAUACAUUUGAUCUAUGUUACCCAUACAUGCCAUUAUUAAGAUAACCUAGAAUAACCCUUAUAUUUGCAUUAAAACUCAUUACAAAAAUAUUCC